AUACGGAGGAUCCGAGCGUUAUCCGGAUUUAUUGGGUUUAAAGGGUGCGCAGGCGGCCAUUUAAGUCAGCGGUUAAAUCGUGGGGCUCAACCCCAUUCUGCCGUUGAUACUGGGUGGCUUGAUUGCGGUCGAGGUUGGCGGAAUUCGUUGUGUAGCGGUGAAAUGCAUAGAUAUGACGAAGAACACCGAUUGCGGAGGCAGCUGACCAGAACGCAAAUGACGCUCAGGCACGAAAGUGCGGGGAUCGAACAGGAUUAGAUACCCUGGUAGUCCGCACAGUAAACGAUGAAUACUUGUUUUCGGCGAUAUAAUGUCGGAGGCAAAGCGAAAGCGAUAAGUAUUCCACCUGGGGAGUACGCCGGCAACGAUGA
rnacentral:rRNA from 1 species